rnacentral:tRNA from 1 species
CGUGGCCGAGAGGUCGAAGGCGGUGGACUUGAUUCCACUGGUGCACAACACCUCUUGGGUUUGAAUCCCAACG